rnacentral:rRNA from 1 species
UACGGAGGGUGCAAGCGUUAUCCGAAUUCACUGGGUUUAAAGGGUGCGUAGGUGGGUUGGUAAGUCAGUGGUGAAAUCCCCGAGCUUAACUUGGGAACUGCCAUUGAUACUAUCAAUCUUGAAUACCGUGGAGGUCAGCGGAAUAUGUCAUGUAGCGGUGAAAUGCUUAGAUAUGACAUAGAACACCAAUUGCGAAGGCAGCUGGCUACACGAAUAUUGACACUGAUGCACGAAAGCGUGGGGAUCAAACAGG